GAUGAACGCUAGCGGCAGGCCUAAUACAUGCAAGUCGAACGGUGUCUUCGGACAUAGUGGCGCACGGGUGCGUAACACGUAUGCAACCUACCUUACAUUGGGGGAUAGCCUUUCGAAAGGGAGAUUAAUACCGCAUAAGACAGUAGCUGGGCAUCCAGCAGCUGUUAAAGAUUUAUCGAUGUAAGCUGGGCAUGCGUCCAAUUAGCUCGUUGGUGAGGUAACGGCUCACCAAGGCAAUGAUUGGUAGGGGAACUGAGAGGUCAAUCCCCCACACUGGCACUGAGAUACGGGCCAGACUCCUACGGGGGGCAGCAGUAGGGAAUAUUGGGCGAUGGACGCAAGUCUGACCCAGCCAUGCCGCGCGCAGGAUGAAGGCGUUAUGCGUUGUAAACUGCUUUUAUACAGGAAGAAACGACUCUUGCGAGAGGCAUUGACGGUACUGUAUGAAUAAGCACCGGCUAACUCCGUGCCAGCCGCCGCAGUAAGAC
rnacentral:rRNA from 1 species